AAGGAUAGUGCGAGCUAAUCUCUAUAUUGUCAAUCUUCGAUUUGCUCGCCAUAUGUUAGUAUUAAGCCUUCAGUUAUAGGAUUGUUUCUAUUUUGCGAGUUGAGCUUCGUACUGUUCGUCGUUCUGAGAAUUGUCGAUAUCUGAAGCUGGGAUUGUGAUUGCUGAUACUAACUGCUUUGCUGUAAUGGGGAAAUAGAAGUGGGCAAGGGAAACCAAAGGAGAACGUGAACAAACAUGGUGUUCUUCGAUCAGGCAACCUAUGACAAGCUCCUGUCCGAGGCACCCGAGGACACGCUCAUCACCCCCUCCAUCCUCUCUGAUCGCCUGAGGGUUAGGAGGAGGCUGAAAUGUAUUGAGCAGAAGACUAUUUAGCUCUCAUACUAUCAUGACAACAUAGGGAUGUCAUUGCCAAGAGAGUAAUCGCCUGAUGUGUUCGGUCCACCUUACUAGAGAAUUGUCGUGCCGAAGAUAUUGUUAUUUGAGGCUAAGCAAUGCCAUACAAAUACAUCUAAAUUCAUUGGAUGAUAAUGGCUGGUUCUUAAAUUCACGUAUAGCAAUUACCCGAUGAUUUGAGCCC